AUGCUAUACUUUUUCUGCUUCCUCCUCUUUUUUCCUCCGAUAACCAGCUCGCCUCUUGGCUGGGUUGGGGAACAACCGGGUCUGCGGUCUGUUCAGUUGUCUACCGUCAAUCAUUUAUUUUGUUAUACCCUUCUGGACGCGCCCAGGAUCCAACUCCUGGCCUCCGUGAACAUGGUGGGUGCAUACUCUAUUCUGCAUUCUUGGACUAUUCUGUCAGAGAGUCAUUGGGAACCUGUGGUAUCUGGGCUAGUCCUUGAUGAUUCUUGGCUUUGGGAUCCUGACUUUGCAACUGCUUCAAAGUAUGUGAUGAGUCCUCCAAUCCGGGAAGCAGGGCAUAAUAAAGCACUUCAAGCUGCUCUUUCAUCAGGAAUAUUACAGCUUGUGGGAACUGAUCAUUGCACCUUCAAUUCCACUCAGAAAGCUUUCGGUUCUGAUGAUUUCAGGAAGAUUCCCAAUGGCGUAAAUGGUAUUGAAGAACGGAUGCAUAUAAUUUGGGAUAGCAUGGUGGAGACCGGCAAGAUCACAGUCACCGAUUAUGUGAGAGUGACAAGCACAGAAUGUGCCAAGAUCUUCAACAUAUACCCUCGCAAAGGAGCAAUCCUCGAGGGAUCUGAUGCAGACAUCAUCAUCCUGAACCCCAAGAGGAGCUUCGCGAUGGGCACGCGCACACACCAUUCGAGGUCCGACACGAACGUGUACGAGGGCAGAAAAGGAAAGGGAAUGGUAGAGGUGACCAUCUCAAGAGGGCGAGUGGUGUGGGAAGAUGGCUUGAACAAAGGAAACUGUGUUGUGUCAUUGCAAAUGGAAGCUGGCUAA
rnacentral:rRNA from 1 species